CCCAACAAACGUUUUCUAUAAAGGACAAGAUAGAACAUUUUAUAGACCAUUGUAGACCACAUACAGACUCUGUUCCAUUUUCUUCUUUUUCUCUUUCCCUUUUCAAGCCCUUUAAUUUAAAAGUAUAAGAACUAUUCUUAGCCCAAGGGUUGUGCAAAAAAACAGUCGGCUAAAUUUGGCCUUCAUUCUGUAGUUUGUUAUACUAAGUCCCUCCCUUGGGUGUAUAAAGAAUUUCCUCCAGCCAGAGCCACUAUGCCAGUGCAACCAGAGAGACUUGGAACACACUGAUAAAGAGAGGGACUAAUUCGUCCUCGGGGAGUCUUCUCAGAGGCAAUGGCAUCUGAGUUGUGUUUGGAAGAAUAACUAACAGUUCACAAGGAGAAAAGCAAGUUGCAGGGGAGCGAUGUUCCUACUGAGUCGGGCUCUGCCAUUUGAAGAUCAUAAGCUAUGGGCUCUCAUCCGUACUUGAGUGUACGGCCCUCCUCUUCAGACUUGGACAAGACUUUGUGACGAUCUGGAUGGAGAGAAUGCAGCAAAGGGGGACAGCGUGGUGUUCAAGCCAAGAAUGGAAAAGAUCAUGCAGCUUUUGCCUGCCUUCUCUUGGGAUUCUGAGAAUCAACAUAUGCCAAGGAAAAAGCCUAACUUAUGCAAAUUCACUAUUUGGAGAGACCCCAAAGAAUAAAGGGAGAGAGAGAUGUGCUCCUGUUGGUCCUUUUGAGUCUUCUAGCUGAGGUACCACCAGCUGAGGAGCAGAUGCUGGAAUGCUGUGACCCUGAGAAGUGACUGCGCCCUGCCAGGCCUGACAGCUGCCUCCCCAGAUGACACAUUUACCCCUCCUCCAACUGCAAGUGUGCUGGCACGGAACUGCAUUGGACCUGAACACACGUGCAUGGGAGCAGCUAGAAGGCCAGGCGUUUGCCAGAAGCCAGCUGACACAUGAGCCUGUGAAACAACGUGAGACACAGCAGAGCAGAGAAGGGGAAGGGAGCAGAUCCGAGGGACAUAAAGACCAAACUGGCUGGUGAUGGCUGAAACAUCUGAGUUUCAGGAAUAGUUUCCUAACAGUGAGAGAGGAUUCAAGAUUGCAUUGCCUCUAGUGAAAGUGAAUUGAGUGGCUGAAGCCUGGAUACUUCUAGUAAGCAGGAAUUGCUGAGGGGAUUUGAAUCCUCAG